AUACGAAGGGUGCGAGCGUUAAUCGGAAUUACGGGGCGUAAAGCGCGCGUAGGCGGUUGGAUAAGUCGGAUGUGAAAGCCCCGGGCUCAACCUGGGAAUUGCAUUCGAAACUGUCCGGCUAGAGUAUGGUAGAGGGAAGCGGAAUUCCACAUGUAGCGGUGAAAUGCGUAGAUAUGUGGAGGAACACCAGUGGCGAAGGCGGCUUCCUGGACCAAUACUGACGCUGAGGUGCGAAAGCGUGGGGAGCAAACAGGAUUAGAAACCCUAGUAGUCC
rnacentral:rRNA from 1 species